AUUGAACGCUGGCGGCAGGCCUAACACAUGCAAGUCGAACGAGUGGCGGACGGGUGAGUAAUGUCUGGGAAAGUGCCUGAUGGAUGGGGCUAACUACUGGAAACGGUCGCUGAUACCGCCUACCAUCGGAUGUGCCGAGAUGGGAUUAGGUUGUGGGUGGGGUAACGGCUGCCCAAGUCGACGAUCCCUACCGGGUCUGAGAGGAUGAACAGCCACACUGGAACUGAGACACGGUCCAGACUCCUACGGGAGGCAGCAGUGGGGAAUAUUGCACAAUGGGCGCAAGCCUGAUGCAGCCAUGCCGCGUGUAUGAAGAAGGACUUCGGGUUGUAAAGUACUUUCAGCUGGGAGGCGUUACCCGCAGAAGAAGCACCGGCUAACUCCGUGCCAGCCGCCGCGGUAAUAC
rnacentral:rRNA from 1 species